UACAGAGGGGGCAAGCGUUGUUCGGAAUUACUGGGCGUAAAGGGCGCGUAGGCGGUUCGCUAAGUUGGAUGUGAAAACUCUGGGCUCAACCCAGAGCCUGCAUCCAAAACUGGCGGGCUAGAGUUCUGGAGGGGGUAGCGGAAUUCCUGGUGUAGCGGUGAAAUGCGUAGAUAUCAGGAGGAACACCGGUGGCGAAGGCGGCUACCUGGACAGAAACUGACGCUGAGGCGCGAAAGCUAGGGGAGCAAACAGG
rnacentral:rRNA from 1 species